AGUGAACGCUGGCGGUAGGCCUAACACAUGCAAGUCGAACGGCAGCACAGUAAGAGCUUGCUCUUACGGGUGGCGAGUGUCGGACGGGUGAGGAAUACAUCGGAAUCUACUUUUUCGUGGGGGAUAACGUAGGGAAACUUACGCUAAUACCGCAUACGACCUACGGUUGAAAGCAGGGGAUCUUCGGACCUUGCCCGAUUGAAUGAGCCGAUGUCGGAUUAGCUAGUUGGCGGGGUAAAGGCCCACCAAGGCGACGCUCCGUAGCUGGUCUGAGAGGAUGAUCAGCCACACUGGGACUGAGACACGGUCCAGACUCCUACGGGAGGCAGCAGUGGGGAAUAUUGGAAAAUGGGCGGAAGCCUGAUCCAGCCAUACCGCGUGGGUGAAGAAGGCCUUCGGGUUGUAAAGCGCUUUUGUUGGGAAAGAAAAGCAGCAGGUUAAUACCCCGCUGUUCUGACGGUACCCAAAGAAUAAGCGCCGGCUAACUUCGUG
rnacentral:rRNA from 1 species